GGGGAUUUGGCUCAGUGGUAGAGUGCUUGCCUAGCAAGCACAAGGCCCUGGGUUCGGCCCCCAGCUCCG
rnacentral:tRNA from 1 species